UGGCGGCAGGCCUAACACAUGCAAGUCGAGCGGUAACAUUUCUAGCUUGCUAGAAGAUGACGAGCGGCGGACGGGUGAGUAACGCGUAGAAAUCUACCUAGUAGUGGGGGAUAGCCCAGAGAAAUUUGGAUUAAUACCGCAUACGCCCUACGGGGGAAAGCGGGGGAUCUUCGGACCUCGUGCUAUUAGAUGAGUCUGCGUCGGAUUAGCUUGUUGGUGAGGUAAUGGCUCACCAAGGCGACGAUCCGUAGCUGGUCUGAGAGGAUGACCAGCCACACUGGAACUGAGACACGGUCCAGACUCCUACGGGAGGCAGCAGUGGGGAAUAUUGCACAAUGGGCGCAAGCCUGAUGCAGCCAUGCCGCGUGUGUGAAGAAGGCCUUAGGGUUGUAAAGCACUUUCAGCAGUGAGGAAAGGGGCGUCGUUAAUAGCGCCAUCCUGUGACGUUAACUGCAGAAGAAGGACCGGCUAACUCCGUG
rnacentral:rRNA from 1 species